rnacentral:rRNA from 1 species
GAUGAACGCUGGCGGCGUGCCUAACACAUGCAAGUCGAGCGGCAGCGAGGGGUGCUUGCACCCUGCCGGCGAGCGGCGGACGGCUGAGUAACGCGUGGGAACGUGCCCCAAAGUGAGGAAUAACUGCCCGAAAGGGUAGCUAAUACCGCAUAUUAUCUUCGGAUCAAAGGAUUUAUCCGCUUUGGGAGCGGCUCGCGUCGGAUUAGGUAGUUGGUGAGGUAAUGGCUCACCAAGCCGACGAUCCGUAGCUGGUCUGAGAGGAUGACCAGCCAGACUGGAACUGAGACACGGUCCAGACUCCUACGGGAGGCAGCAGUGAGGAAUCUUCCACAAUGGGCGAAAGCCUGAUGGAGCAACGCCGCGUGCAGGACGAGGGCCUUCGGGUUGUAAACUGCUUUUAUAAGUGAGGAAUAUGACGGUAACUUAUGAAUAAGGAUCGGCUAACUACGUG